GAGUUUGAUCGUGGCUCAGAUUGAACGCUGGCGGCAUGCCUUACACAUGCAAGUCGAACGGCAGCAUGAUCUAGCUUGCUAGAUUGAUGGCGAGUGGCGAACGGGUGAGUAAUACAUCGGAACGUGCCCUGUAGUGGGGGAUAACUAGUCGAAAGAUUAGCUAAUACCGCAUACGACCUGAGGGUGAAAGUGGGGGACCGCAAGGCCUCAUGCUAUAGGAGCGGCCGAUGUCUGAUUAGCUAGUUGGUGGGGUAAAGGCCCACCAAGGCGACGAUCAGUAGCUGGUCUGAGAGGACGAUCAGCCACACUGGGACUGAGACACGGCCCAGACUCCUACGGGAGGCAGCGGUGGGGAAUUUUGGACAAUGGGCGAAAGCCUGAUCCAGCAAUGCCGCGUGUGUGAAGAAGG
rnacentral:rRNA from 1 species